rnacentral:misc_RNA from 1 species
GAUGAAGAACGUAGCGAAAUGCGAUAAGUAAUGUGAAUUGCAGAAUUCAGUGAAUCAUCGAAUCUUUGAACGCACAUUGCGCCCCCUGGUAUUCCGGGGGGCAUGCCUGUUCGAGCGUCAUUUCACCACUCAAGCCUCGCUUGGUAUUGGGCAACGCGGUCCGCCGCGUGCCUCAAAUCGACCGGCUGGGUCUUCUGUCCCCUAAGCGUUGUGGAAACUAUUCGCUAAAGGGUGUUCGGGAGGCUACGCCGUAAAACAACCCCAUUUCUAAGGUUGACCUCGGAUCAGGUAGGACUACCCGCUGAACUUAAGCAUAUCAAUAAGCGGAGGA